UACAGAGGGUGCGAGCGUUGUCCGGAAUCACUGGGCGUAAAGGGCGCGUAGGUGGCGCAACAAGUCAGUGGUGAAAGCUCGACGCUCAACGUCGAGUCGGCCACUGAGACUGUUGGGCUUGAGCACUGUAGAGGCUAAUGGAAUUCCGGGUGUAGCGGUGGAAUGCGUAGAGAUCCGGAAGAACACCGGUGGCGAAGGCGGUUAGCUGGGCAGUUCCUGACGCUGAGGCACGAAGGUCAGGGGAGCAAACGGG
rnacentral:rRNA from 1 species